AUGGCGGAAGGAAGAUAUGGCUUCGGCUCGGUGGAGCCGCCAACUAGAGCGAGUUCAAGCUCGAGUAGAGUUUUAAGCUGGAAUUAUAAAGGCCAGAAGACCCUGCCGUCCUCCUCAGAUGGAACUUAUCAACCGUCUGCUCGGGUUGUAGGUGCCUUGGAGUGGGCGUGUCCCCUUCCAGUCUGGGGUUUCAGGCCUGUCCCAAAGCACAGGGGGGGCAUUGCAGAAAGUGGUAAUAUACUCACAGGACUCUCCUGCACUGUGUGGAUUGCAGAGGCUUGUGUUUUGAUGCUUCAGUCAUUCUUGAUGAUGAAUUGUGGUGACUUACUCCCCUCUCCUGUGGUGUGAGACAUCCAUGGGUGGGGAAGAGGGUGCAGGGAGCAGAAGGGAGUGGAGACAGUAGGGUCUUCUCUGUAUCUCUGUGUGAUUGUACAAACAUUGCUUUGACUGGGAAAGCUUUCUACACUGUAUUACAUAAAUAAACUUCAAAAAUACACUGUCCUGUGCUCUGGGUCUUCUGUGGAUGUCUGUGGUACACGUGUGUGCUGUUGUGGUGUGCGUUACAGCACGUCUGCGUUUUUUUUUUUGCAUUCUUGUGUGCGUUUGGCAGUGGAAGUUGGAUAAAAUUGGGUGAUUAAUAAUAAUAAUUGCUUCUUUCAAAGCGCUUUACAGGUAGUGGGGACUCCCCUCCACCACCACACAAUGUGCAGCAUCCACCUGGAUGAUGCGACGGCAGCCAUUGUGCGCCAGAACGCUCACCACACAUCAGUGGGGAGGACAGCAGAGUAAUGUAGCCAAUUCAUAGAUGGGGAUUAUUAGGAGGCCAUGAUUGGUAAGGGC
rnacentral:lncRNA from 1 species